AAUGCUGCUGUGUUUUUCAUAUCCAACAGUUUCCUGUGUGUAUCAAGAAUGGUUCAUCACCCAAAAGACAUUCAGUCAGCUUGACACAACUGUGGGAAGCAUUUGGAGUCAACAUGGGCCAGCAUCACUGUGGAACGCUUUCGACACCUUGCAGAGUCCACUCUGACGAAUUGAGACUGUUCUAUAUAAUAUCAACAUAAUGAAGGGUUUGUCAGGUGCUGGAAAGAAAACCGUCGGCGUUGCCCUGGACGAGUACUUGGCGUUCCCUGCUACUCCUUGGACGGGGAUAACAUCCGACAGGGACUGGAUAGUAACGUAGGCUUCACCUCUGUGGACAGGGAGAACAUCGGGCACAUUGCUGAGGUGGCCAAGCUGUUUGCAGACGCAGGAUUGAUCCUGCGUCACCAGCUUCAUUACUCCAUUCACUAAGGACCGAGAUGAAGCCAGGAAGAUCCAUGGUUGCUCUGGGCUGUCGUUCUUCGAGGUGUUCAUUGCUAGAAAGAUGUCGGCAUCAAGUAAUUGUCUCUGGCCCCCUCCAGGUUAGGGGAAGUGAUGAGCUCUACAGCAAUCUCACAACAAUCACUGGUAGAAAAAUGUUUUCUGCCCCUCCCAAAAUAUAGAAUUUGUAAAUAAUUGGCCCUCUUUCUGGGACUCGCUCACAAACAGAACCAAGCAUGGCCUGCUGAAGAGUGACGGACUCCAUCCUAGCUGGAGGGGUACUCUCAUCUUAACUAUGAACAUAGACAGGGCUCUAGCUACACAAUGAGAUAGGGUGGAGGCCAGGCUACAGGCUGUUAGCCAGCCU